UACGGGGGGGGCAAGCGUUGUUCGGAAUUACUGGGCGUAAAGGGCUCGUAGGUGGCCAACUAAGUCAGACGUGAAAGCCCCCGGCUCAACCGGGGAACGGCGCGGGAAACUAGCAGGCUUGAGUUCGGGAGAGGGAAGCGGAAUUCCGGGUGUAGCGGUGAAAUGCGCAGAUAUCCGGAGGAACACCGGUGGCGAAGGCGGCUUCCUGGACCGACACUGACGCUGAGGCGCGAAAGCUAGGGGAGCAAACGGG
rnacentral:rRNA from 1 species